UUGUUUUUAGGGUAAAACACGUUCACCAAUCAGCCGUAGGUUCAAGAACUGUUGUCGCAGGUUUCUAUGCGUUCGUGAUGUUUCUUGCCUUUCAGAUUCUCCACACGAGAAAACUGGAACAGCAGCGAAUCACACGAGAACUCUGAGCAAUUUCACCACACGAGAGCUUCAAGCAAUCGCUGAUUUCAUCAACACAGAAAUCUUCGAUUUCGUCACUAUAGAUGCGAACAGCUGAGGAGAAUAGAUGGCAGGAAAGUUGUCUCUUCGGUCUCCAGCCGAAUAGAAAGACAGAAAAACUUGCUGACUGUUUCGAUUUUGAUUUCUAUUUAGUGAUAGAACUUCUGCUGUCGCGACUCUACCUUCUGUCACAAGGCUUAUUUCACUUGCUGCACAGGUUCUCUUCACAGAUUCUUUACACUCCCAAAUUCACUGGCCCUGAUACCAAUUAAAGGGUAAUCAAGGAAAAGAGAAGCAGCCAGGCUAGAAGCAUGUUGCACUAUUCUUGGAGUGAAAUUGAACAAUAUAUAGACGACAAAGAGCAUAUAUAGACGACAAAGAGGAUGAUACUUGAACAUGAAGAAGAUGAAUAAUAACCCUUAUCCAAAGGGUAACCAGGUUACCCCUUCACUUUGCCAAUAAGGAUGUUUUUUAACGUACAAAAAUUAAGUUCCCUAGACUACAAACAAAAACAUUAGGGACGUUUUAAAACAGAUGCAAAAGAUGUAGAGCUAAAAUGACAUUAACCCAACAAAAAAUUAAUACUAUAUACUCAAAAUUUAAAUAUCCAACCAAAAUAAAUGGACAAUUAAGGUCAUAUAAACUACUUUAUACACAUAGAACUCGAUGAAUGAACAGUAGGUGUGAGGCCAUGACAUAAAAAGUCACUUAAAAAAACAUAGUAAAAAAAUACAAUAAAAAAUACAAAAACGAAUAAAAACGGAAGGCUAAGAGAGAUUCACAAAAGAUGACAAUAUGAACCUUUUCCAAGGCAAUCUCAAAAGUCAAACAUAUUUAAGGAAAGUGGCAAUCUCAAAAGUCAAACCUUUUCCAAGGCAAUCUCAAAUGAACCAUUUCCAGACGUGGCUUGGCCAAAGUGAUCACAAAUCAUUUUUGUGCCGCAUGAUGUGGCAAGUACUAGGCUACGAUGUGGCGUCAUCUUAAGGCAAUACCCUAAUUUUUCGAGCUUUAGGCCAUAUUUAAGGAAAAUGGGAGCUAAGUUGUGCAUGCCCUCAACUUCCAACACCUUCCUUUCUAACCCUGAUCAGAUCUAGCCUCCAUUAUUGAGUCUUUGAGGUUCUUGUUGGUGUUUUUGGCAUCUUGAAGAAGAAGGAAGAUCCCUUGGCACAUAGAUUUGACUUUCAAGCCUCACCAUCAUUCUCUAACACAUUUAUGGACCAUUGUAAGUGUCCAAGAUCCAAGCUUUAUGUCGCAUGCUUCUAGAUCUAGGUUCCUUGUCCCUUUUUCUCCAUGUUGUGGAAGUUUGAGGAAUGGAUUCCAUAAAGUUGGCAACUUUAUGGAUCAUUGAGGUCCUUUUUGGGGUUAUAUGUUCCAGAUCUAGAGUCUUAUGGGGUAUUUGGUCUCAUACAGAAGCUUGAGUUCAUUUCUUCCAUAUUUUAUCCUAGUUUGUAAGAGACAUGCAUGUCUAUAAAGCAAUGGUUUUAUAAUGAUUUGGGCGUAGGAAAUCCUUGUGGAAGUUAUGGACUUAUGUCUUUGGUGAUUAAGUGCUUAAUAGAUUAGUUCAUGCCUUAAGUUGUCAUUUAGGAUCUAGGUUUAGAGAUCUUGUCUUAUUGGCAUGUAUUAAUGAAUAAAGUUGGAAACUUUAUCCAUCAAGACCUUGGGAAGGACUAGAUAUGAGCUUUGGAACUCUUAGAGUGGAAGGAAAACGAAUUUAGUCAUUAAGUUGUUACGACCCAAUUUCAACGACGUGGCGACCGGGGGAUGCUCAACUAUUUUGUCGUUAUUUUGCCAUGAUGUGGCCAAUAAGAGGCCAUGACGUGGAGACUCACUGAAGUUGACUUUAACCGUUGCCUUUUUUACUUUGUUACCUUUUGGCCAUUUGGCUAGUUUUAGAAGGUGAACUAAGGGUUUACAUUGUAUGGUUUAUUAGGGGUAUAUAACACUCGAUUUAUUAACUAUGAGAGCUAUUAGUUGUUGA